rnacentral:misc_RNA from 1 species
AAGUCGUAACAAGGUUUCCGUAGGUGAACCUGCGGAAGGAUCAUUAAUAAAAUGAUGAUUUUUUGGGGUUUUUUAAAUUCCAAAAAAUAAUUCACCUUUUGUGCACAGUUAUAAGAUAUACUUUGGUUAGAGCUUUGAUUUCAUUUAUUGGAAUCAACUUCUUGCCGACUCUAUCCUUUCUGAGGACAGUUGGCUAUGAAGCGGCCUACCAAGGUUUUUUUAAUCAAAACUUUUGUAUAUUGUCUGACCUAAACUAUUAUAAUUAAAUCAUAACUUUCAACAACGGAUCUCUUGGCUCUC